rnacentral:tRNA from 1 species
GGGGGUAUGGUGUAACUGGCAACACGUUUGUCUCCAAAACAAAAGACUCUAGGUUCGAGCCCUAGUACCCCCG